rnacentral:rRNA from 1 species
UACGUAGGGUGCGAGCGUUGUCCGGAAUUAUUGGGCGUAAAGGGCUCGUAGGCGGUCUGUCACGUCGGGAGUGAAAACUCAGGGCUUAACCCUGAGCCUGCUUCCGAUACGGGCAGACUAGAGGUAUGCAGGGGAGAACGGAAUUCCUGGUGUAGCGGUGAAUGCGCAGAUAUCAGGAGGAACACCGGUGGCGAAGGCGGUCUCUGGGCAUUACCUGACGCUGAGGAGCGAAAGUGUGGGGAGCGAACAGG